rnacentral:piRNA from 1 species
UGUUCAUCUGACGUGAGGCAUAAGUUC